CUGCAGGGCACUUGGAAUAUCCAACUUUUAACUUUUUAGUUCCAGAGAGAUGGCUCAGCAGGCAGUGAUGCUUGCCAACAUACCUGGUGAUCUGAGUUCAAUCCUUCGAUCCCACAUAGUGGAAGGAGACGCUCAAAUCCUGCAAGUUGUUCUCUGGCCUUCACAUUUGGGUAGUGGCGCAUGUGUCCGCACCCCCACCACGAAUACACAGUCAGACGUCCUGAAGGUUUCAGCACCUCACGAGACCGUGCCACUAUCAGGGGCCCAGCUGUUUAAACACUCGAGCCUGUGAGGACAUCCCGACGACAGCCAAGGCUGCACUCAUAGGCCAUAGCAAGUAAAAGCAGUGGUAAUGGCUGAAGCCCAAGGCCCAGGUGGCAGGCAUAUGCCGUGCCCUGCUUUAUUGUUCCAUCCUCCCUAUGGGAGUGGAAAGAUUUACCAAACC